UUUCAGUCCAUUUCUCAAUUGCAAGGACUUGGGACCAUGAGAAGCAUUUGUGACUCUGAGCAAUGGAGACCUUCGCAGCUUUUACUUUGGCAUUUUAGGCUUCACAGCUACUGGUGGGAAGUUCAAGUUGUUAGCUUUUUUUGAGAGAGAGACGUUAAGGGAGUAAGAAGUUUGAAGUUGAACUUUUUUGAGAGAGAUAUGUUAAGGGAGUAAGAAGUUUGAAGUCGAACUAAAAGAGAUUAAAGCUCGUUUAAUGCAUGCUAUGGAGUAAAAAGAGUAUCUACUGCACACUUUUAUUUUCGGUACAUUUCAAGUCUUAGAAAAUAGUGCGUUUUGUAAUGUUAUCUAAUAAAAAAAUCGGCAUAAAAAAGAACAUCCCGAGUCGUCUCUCUCUCCACUCUUCCCACCUUCAUCCCUCCUCCGCCUCUCUCUUAACACUUUCUCUCUCUACUCUUCCCACCUUCAUGCAUCCUCCGCCUCUCUCUAAUACUCCCAAAGAUAGCACAAAAUACCUCAAUGAAUAUUAACACAAACUGCCAAUACCAUGAAUUGGAGUAGAAAACCCCAACCUGGUACCUGUGUCAACAAAUUUAUAUGAAUUCAUAAAUCUAGAUCUUGUGUCAAGACGGCGAAUUGGGACUCCAAAUGCUUCCAAACAACACAAAGCAUGUGCAAUUACCCAAAAAACACAAGGAAUGCACAUUAUUCAUUACUCAAGUAGCUAUUCCUUACUCAAAUAGCUAUUCCUUCUUAAGGAUGUAACAUGGAGCAUUGUUGUGGUAUCAAAAUUGCUGUCGUUAGAAGGCACUGCUUUCUCAUCCAGCAGGUUAGCAGUGCAGUUCAUAACUUGGGGGUAAGAGCCAAGUUGCUUUGAACCAAUGUUUGUUCACAGGAUUGCCUUGUGAAUACCAUCAGGAACUGGAAAUCUUGCCAACCAACGAAAUGUCAUAUUCUCACAAGCUUAAUAGAGUUGGAGUUAUAAAUCCAUUUUAGGGUAUUAUUAUAUUUCUUUUGUUGUGGUUUUUACUAUUUCAUUGGAUUGAUAGAGGUUGUUAUUUGGUUUAAGCAAUGAAUCUGGUUUAGCUAUUUUAAUUGGCUUGGAGUUAUUUGGAUGAUUGUUUAGUGGAAUUGGCUCCUCUUUGGGUGAUGUCUUUCUUUAGAUUUUUGAUUUGUAGAUGAAAUCUUAGUUAUUCUUUUCAUUAUUUCCAUCUUGAAUUUACUGGAGCCAUUUGGUCUUGAUUUUCAUGGAAGAAUUGAUGUGUAGUUCACAUAAAACAAGAGUAGGCAAAGUGAUUGGUUAAAUUCAUAUCUAAAACAGCUUCCAUUUAACCCGUUCAAGUCAUUUACUUCAUUGGAUAUGUAGAAGUUCUAUUAGGUAUUUUUUUCUUCUUUAUGUUUUAAUGUUGUUACUUUUCUUGUUAAAUGUUUUUAAUUGUUAGUAUGAUGAAAGUUUCAAUUGCUAUUUCAAGGAUAAAUAAUCAGGGAGUCAAUUGCCUUAGAGCCAAAUGGGCCUCCAUGACCUUUUUGUCUUAUGAAUGGGAAAAUAUCCCCUGAACUUCAUCUCCUAAAAAGCAUCAGUCAAGUUCACAAUCUUGUUAUUGUUAAUCAGUGAAAACCGUUUUUAGUACAUCUUAUGGCUUGAUUGUUCUCUCAUUGUAUACAAGGUCCUAUUUACCCUUGUGUUUUUGCUAUCAAGUUCUCCAUUUCUUGCGAAGCUAUGUGAAUGUGAGAUUAUACUAGUUUGUGUUUUAGAUCAUUGUGGAAGAAGACUUGCUUAAUGAGGUGUGGCAAUAACUUCCAAAGAGAAGCUAAAGCUUCAGGGUAGUCUCAAUAUGGAAGUAUGAAGAUUUGUUAUCUGUUUAUUGCAUAAUGCCAUUGAGUAACGGCUUUUUAUUGAAUUUCACUAGGCAUGCCUGCUGCUCCAGCAACUCAUUGUAAUUUUCAUCUGAAUGAGUUGCGUUUUUUUUUUUUUCAUUUUAUAUAAAUUAAAGUUGUGAUUUCCACCUUUAACUAGGAACUGAUCAUCUCUGGUUUGUAGGAUGCAUUAUGAUCUAUCUCAUGAUGAGAGGCACUUAGUUACAUAGACCUUGCAUUCUUUAUAUAUUUCUACAGAAGGCCUCUAUUCUGAAAUGCCUAGAUUUCAAAAGUUGAGCUCUGUGAUGUUGGUUAUAUUGUAUCUGAACCUGUUACCCUCGCAGUAGUUUUACUGGUUAGAAGAAUAUAAUGCAAGAUCGUUAGAUCAAAAUGCCCAAAAGGAAUUGGUUAGUACCCAUUUGUAUGAAGAGAAAUUGGUUACAUAUAUCAUUUGGCAUUUUGAUAAUUUUGACCGUAGUAUCUUUAGACUUGAUCAUGAUUACUUAUAUGUUAAGGGACUAAUAAUUAUCCUAGAUUACUUUCUUUGGGCAUUUAAAAUAGAAAAUUAUAUUUUUGGUAGAGCAUUGCAAGAUUCUGGUGAUGGAAUAACAAUAGUGCUUGCUGGUUUCCUGAGUUUGUAAACCUGAAUUCUGUCAAACUAAGAAUUCACCGUAUUAGAAACAAUUGUUAAUAUAGUAUUUUAGUUCAUCACUAUUGGUCAACAUUAUUUGGUGUUGGAGUUUUAUGGGAGCGUUACAGGAAAUGCUUGCAUGGAGGUCCAGAACAUUGAGAUUGGAGGUCCAGAACAUUGAGAUUGAAUACCAUAGUCAUGUUGUCAUGAACGAUCUUAUCUCUAGAAAAAUAUACUUGAUAGGUAUGUCCAAUUGCUUUUUUCACAUAGAGGUAUUUUCCCACUGAUGUUUACCAUGUACUUGUUGUAUGAUUAUAGAGACAAAUGUAAGUAUUUGCAAAAAUAUGUAUGUUUAUGUACAUGAUCAAGUGAUUAGAAGGUUCUGGAGAUAAUAUAUGUCUGAUGACUUUAGGCUCUUUAUGUUCUCUACAUACCGGUGAUGGAUGGCUGUGAAAUCCAUAAAAGCCCAUAAUAGGGUUCUGGGCACCAUAUUGAUUGAUCAUGAUGCAUCAUCUUGUUAUAAGGAAAAUCACAUAACAUCAAUUUGUAUUUUCACUAGUAGAUUGUAUAAUAUUAAGACAAUUUUGUUAGGUCAGCAAUGAAAUUUAAACAUUGGGACAUUUUGUUGCGGCCCUCAAUGCCCCAACCACCAAACAAUGAGCCCAAAUCCCUUGUAAAUUGUAUAUAUUCUUGUGUUACUUCAUGAAAAACUAUAGGUUAGGAAAUGCUCAUUGUUUGAUACUUUAAAAUCAUGACUUACUUCGAGGUAUUCUGGUUGGCAAUCCAGGUACUUAGAACUUACUUAACAUUUCAGGAGGUUAUCAAACGCAGAAACUAGGAACUUCUUUAACUUCAUAGGAAGUUAUCAAAAACAGAAACCAUGAACUUCUAUCUUCCCAGCAAGGAGGAAGUUCCAAUUUACAGUUCAUGAACUUACUUCUAGUUAUCAAACAGGCCCUUAUAAAACCUUUACAUGGGAACUCUUUGGCCUAAGUACUCUUAUAAAACCUUUACAUGAACUUUGGUUACUUAAGGUAUCUACUAAAAUUUAAAAUAAGAAAAUAUCAUGUAUGUGUGGUAGUUGAUAUUGUAUGGUGGGUGUUCAUCUUUAACAAAAUGCUUGAUCUUCAAUAAAUUGCUGUUUGCUUUUAUAUAUUUUUGGUUAGUUUACAAGUGUUGUUCAAUAAAAUAUCGAUCAGUUGUGUUGUUCAAAACCUGAGAAUUUUUUUAAUUAUUUUAUUAAAAUGAUGGUACAUUUUGUUAUAUUGGAUUUUGGAAUAAACUUACAUAGUAAGGGAGAUAUUUCUUUGUUAGUUUGUAAGUUUGAUACUAUGAUGUAUUUCGUUCCUCUAAGAAGGCUCCCUGUGUAUUAAUCAAUCUCUACAAUAUAAAACAUUUAUGGAAAAUUGUUCCAUAUGGCCUGGACC